CCUGGUUGAUUCUGCCAUUAGUCAUAUGCUUGUCUCAAAGAUUAAGCCAUGCAUGUCUAAGUAUAAACACGUUAUACUGUGAAACUGCGAAUGGCUCAUUAAAUCAGUUAUAGUUUAUUUGAUGGUUUUUGCUACAUGGAUAACUGUGGUAAUUCUAGAGCUAAUACAUGCGUACAAGCCCCGACUUCUGGAAGGGGUGUAUUUAUUAGAUAAAAAUCAACACUGUUGGUGAAUCAUGAUAACUUCUCGGAUCGCAUGGCCUCGUGCUGGCGAUACUUCAUUCAAAUAUCUGCCCUAUCAACUGUCGAUGGUAGGAUAGAGGCCUACCAUGGUUGCAACGGGUAACGGGGAAUAAGGGUUCGAUUCCGGAGAGGGAGCCUGAGAAACGGCUACCACAUCCAAGGAAGGCAGCAGGCGCGCAAAUUACCCAAUCCCGACACGGGGAGGUAGUGACAAUAUGUAACAAUAUACGGCUUUAUCGUCGUAUAAUUGGAAUGAGUACAAUUUAAAUCCCUUAACGAGGAACAAUUGGAGGGCAAGUCUGGUGCCAGCAGCCGCGGUAAUUCCAGCUCCAAUAGCGUAUAUUAAAGUUGUUGCAGUUAAAAAGCUCGUAGUUGGACCUUGGGCCUGGACGGGCGGUCCGCCUCACGGCGUGUACUGUCUUGCCGGGCCUUUCCUCUUGGUGAUCUGUUGUUUCGGCAGCAGGGAACCAGGACCUUUACUUUGAAAAAAUUAGAGUGUUCAAAGCAGGCUCGACGCCGGAAUAUAUUAGCAUGGAAUAAUAAAAUAGGACGUGCGGUUCUAUUUUGUUGGUUUUUGGAAUCGCCGUAAUGAUUAAUAGGGACAGUCGGGGGCUUAGUACUCACAUGCUAGAGGUGAAAUUCUUGGAUUUUGUGAAGACUAACUUCUGCGAAAGCAUUUGCCA
rnacentral:rRNA from 1 species